CUGUAUAUAUUUUUUAAUUUUUAAUUUUAAUUUUUGUGGGUACAACAUUCGCUAUAUUGAGAUCAUGCAUGUGUCCUCAAACCUAGUUCUUUUCCUAAGUCUAGUUUUAUAAAUGCUAAUGAUGAAC
rnacentral:snoRNA from 1 species